UACGGAGGGUGCGAGCGUUGUCCGGAAUUAUUGGGCGUAAAGAGCUCGUAGGCGGUGUGUCACGUCGGCCGUGAAAACCUGCAGCUUAACUGUGGGCGUGCGGUCGAUACGGGCAUCACUGGAGUUCGGCAGGGGAGACUGGAAUUCCUGGUGUAGCGGUGAAAUGCGCAGAUAUCAGGAGGAACACCGAUGGCGAAGGCAGGUCUCUGGGCAUUAACUGACGCUGAGGAGCGAAAGCAUGGGGAGCGAACAGG
rnacentral:rRNA from 1 species